rnacentral:rRNA from 1 species
UGGGAAUUUUGGACAAUGGGCGAAAGCCUGAUCCAGCAAUGCCGCGUGUGUGAAGAAGGCCUUCGGGUUGUAAAGCACUUUUGUCCGGAAAGAAAUCCUUGGCUCUAAUACAGUCGGGGGAUGACGGUACCGGAAGAAUAAGCACCGGCUAACUACGUGCCAGCAGCCGCGGUAAUACGUAGGGUGCAAGCGUUAAUCGGAAUUACUGGGCGUAAAGCGUGCGCAGGCGGUUUGCUAAGACCGAUGUGAAAUCCCCGGGCUCAACCUGGGAACUGCAUUGGUGACUGGCAGGCUAGAGUAUGGCAGAGGGGGGUAGAAUUCCACGUGUAGCAGUGAAAUGCGUAGAGAUGUGGAGGAAUACCGAUGGCGAAGGCAGCCCCCUGGGCCAAUACUGACGCUCAUGCACGAAAGCGUGGGGAGCAAACAGGAUUAG